GAGGGGAUAGCUCAUUGGUAGAGUGCAUGCUUAGAUGUACGAGAUCCUGGGUUCAACCCCCAGUACCUCCA
rnacentral:tRNA from 1 species